rnacentral:rRNA from 1 species
AUUGAACGCUGGCGGCAGGCCUAACACAUGCAAGUCGAGCGGUAGAGAGGAGCUUGCUUCUCUUGAGAGCGGCGGACGGGUGAGUAAUGCCUAGGAAUCUGCCUGGUAGUGGGGGAUAACGUUCGGAAACGGACGCUAAUACCGCAUACGUCCUACGGGAGAAGGUGGGGGAUCUUCGGACCUCACGCUAUCAGAUGAGCCUAGGUCGGAUUAGCUAGUUGGUGAGGUAAAGGCUCACCAAGGCGACGAUCCGUAACUGGUCUGAGAGGAUGAUCAGUCACACUGGAACUGAGACAAGGUCCAGACUCCUACGGGAGGCAGCAGUGGGGAAUAUUGGACAAUGGGCGCAAGCCUGAUCCAGCCAUGCCGCGUGUGUGAAGAAGGUCUUCGGAUUGUAAAGCACUUUAAGUUGGGAGGAAGGUCAGUAGCUUAAUACGUUGCUGAUUUGACGUUACCGACAGAAUAAGCACCGGCUAACUCUGUGCCAGCCGCCGCGGUAAAAC